AGCCGGAGCCGCUGGCACGGCGAUCUGCCGCUGCCCGUGAGCCCUUAGGGCUGUAACAGGCCUCGGUGCAGGCAGUGAGCGGGCGUCUGCGUCCUUAGCUGUGCGUUCUGCAGCCUUUUUUGGGUGCCUGCUGCCAGCCAGUGGCAGAAGUCUGUGGGUGAUGGCAGAGGAGGAGAACCAGAGAAAGGGAAACUUGGUCUGCGUGACCCUGACUGAUCUCUGAUCUUUUGCUGAUAAAGUUGUUCUUAUGGCUUCUGGCGAGCUUUCCAGCCAUAGUGGGUAAGCUGGUGACCCGGUGAGAUGCUGAAGUGAAACCGACAAACACGUAUUCUUCUGAUAUGGAAACAGCGGAUAUCCACAAGGGACCUCGAUGUUAUAUCAACAGGAUACCGCAGGAAAACAAAAGACGGUCAUAACUAACAUGUGGGCAAUACAGCACCUUUAUUACUUCCAAUUAUGGAGCUUUUGUUCCCUUUUUUCUCUGGCAUCUUCGGAUUGCAGAACAGAUUUUCAGUUCCUGUUCACUGCUUGGGUUUUGUUUUUAUACAAACAUUUUGUAACUUUUUCCUGUUGGCAAAAAACAACCAGGUGCAACUUUAAAGCAGUCUGAAUUCUGACUGCAUCACAGCUUCUGUUUAAUGAGAAUAUAGCUCUCUAUUAAUACCCAGCUUGAAUUUUCUCAUGCUAAGGGAAAGGGAGGUGAAACAACCUCAUAAUGCAGUAUUUAUCUGUUUUUGUUUGCAAAACUAAGUAUUUGUUUUGAAUGAGCAGCGGCAUUGCAAGGGCCACAGAGUAGCAAUGUCAGACCUGAGGCACAUCCUCUAAAUUCUACAGGAUUCAGGUAUUUCCAGGCUGCUAGGGUUUUGAGUAGCACAUCAUUUUGGCACAGCUCUGAAGUGUAGUGGGUUUUUCUGAGUAAGAAUGAUGUUGAUCCUGCUGUGGAGCAUUUGAACUUUAAUUGUAGGAGGAAUGGCAGUUGCUGGUGGCUCACAGCUGAGAGAAGGACAAGCUCUGUUACAACAUGUGUGUGGUGUGGCGAUUAAACUCAACAGUAAUGUGACCUGAUGGUGUUGUGUCACUAACCUUGAGGACACAAAGGAAGAUAAACUAAUUUGCUGCCAUUACAUAAGAGUUGAGUACAAAGCCAAGAAUGAGGUUUCGGCACAGAUAAGGAUUUCAUUCUGAAACUUUCAAAGAAUUUAGACCUUCACAGCUUUAUUCAUAGGAGUUGCAGUUCCUUCCUGCUGCAGUUUGCCAGCAAGUUCCCGGUAAUCAGGUGCCACAGGCCUGCAUUCUUUAGCUGUGCCUGGGGGUAGAUAGAAAGCAUGAGCAUGGGAUUGCUUGCUGACUGUUACACAGUAAUAAUCCCGGUACCUGAAAGGGUUUUGGCCUGUGUCAGCUAGCAAUCUCCAAGGUGAUGUGUGGGCAUGGUUCAGGGCGUAGUAUGCCUCCAAAGAGGAGUGUGGGUGAGGGUGGGCAAUCCUCACGCUCCGUGGUCAUACUGCAACGUCUGAGCCAGUUUCAUACUGCGUUUCCUACUUGGUGACAAGUCCUUUACUUACCUUAUUGCAAUGGCUGUGUAAAGCGUUCAGUGCUCUAAGUUUACUAAACUACUCCACACUGGGGAGAAUUUAAGGGAAACGCAAAGUGAUUUAUUUCACCAAAAGGUAGGUAGGUAGCUGUAUUUGAAGACAAAUAUGGCAAAUUAACCAAACAAGAAAAUAUGCUAUUCUACCUGAUUGUCUUCAAGAUCUUUGUUUCAGCCUGAAGGCUGAGCUGAGGGGCAUGGCAAGCUGCUGGGGUGGGUUCUACAGCUAUUAGAACUGCACAGUGGCACUCAAACAAGCUCCCUUCCCCAGAAGGCACGUUCCUGGUUAGGAACGCUUCUUUGAGAGAAGUUUUAUGUGUAUUUUAUACAUCUUUACAUGCCUACGGGCCUUCUGAGGGCAAAUGCCUCACUGUGUCACUUCUGGCUCCUAACACCCGUACAUUUGGUCAAGACCUGAUUUGUAACAGCCUUGCUAAUGAAACACCAUUUGUUGUAGCUCGACUCCUUGUUGUGCAAAGGCAUGACAGGAGUGCAGUAUUCCUGAUACCUGGACAGAAUUAAUGUGGCUUCUUGAUAAGCCUGUCACUAUAAUGUAUAAAUAAAUAGUCUUUGCCACAAGGGCUUUAGCACUUCA